rnacentral:rRNA from 1 species
ACCAGACUCCUACGGGAGGCAGCAGUGGGGAAUAUUGCACAAUGGGGGAAACCCUGAUGCAGCGACGCCGCGUGAGCGAAGAAGUAUUUCGGUAUGUAAAGCUCUACCAGCAGGGAAGAAAAAUGACGGUACCUGAGUAAGAAGCACCGGCUAAAUACGUGCCAGCAGCCGCGGUAAUACGUAUGGUGCAAGCGUUAUCCGGAUUUACUGGGUGUAAAGGGAGCGCAGGCGGUGCGGCAAGUCUGAUGUGAAAGCCCGGGGCUCAACCCCGGGACUGCAUUGGAAACUACCGAACUAGAGUGUCGGAGAGGUAAGUGGAAUUCCUAGUGUAGCGGUGAAAUGCGUAGAUAUUCGGAGGAACACCAGUGGCGAAGGCGGCUUACUGGACGAUAACUGACGCUGAGGCUCGAAAGCGUGGGGAGCAAACAGGAUUAGAUACCCUCGUA